GCGCCCACCUGCUCGUCGGGGCAGCCCAUCUACGCAACUACACUCCGGGAUCCCUGGCCGCAAGUCGUGAUCCCGCUCGGCCGGCGUCGAACUUUGACUUUGGCAGCCCCGCCCCCGAUCCACGAUCGGCCUCGCGAGUCUGGAAUCUGCAUUCUGUUGUUGAUCCGGGGUCGAGCGCAGUUCGUCACCGAUCCGAACUUGGAAGAUGGAUUCUGGUGGUACGAAACGCGGUAGACCUCCGCUUGGUGAUCUGUCCAACGUAAUCGCCUAAGAUAGCAAACGGUGGUGCAAAUGAGGUUAAGAGAAGAACGAAACGCCGGAAGCUUGCCAGAGGAAGAAAGCAUCGUCACCAAACAAAGAAAACAUCAGGGUACAUGGAUCGGGGUAUCCGGAUUUCACCAUCGUUAGGUAUAUCUCUACUAUUUCUAAGAUAGAAUAGCUAUUUUCGUCCUCGAACUAUUGGUCAAGGCUCAGUUUCAUUCUUGAACUAUUAAAAUGACCAAUUUAGUCCUUAAACAUUC